rnacentral:rRNA from 1 species
CAAUAUGGUCUCUCAAAAAGAAUUAGCCUGUUAUCCCUACGGUAGCUUUAUUUUUUAAUCGCAUAGCGGAUCUUUAUAUAUAAAAGAGAAGAUUUAGGUGCUCUCAUGUUGCCCCAACAAAAUUAUUAAUAUGAAGACAUAGUUUAUAAUGAAGCUCAAUAGGGUCUUUUUGUCUUUUUAAGUUAUUUAAGCCUCUUCACUUAAAGGUUAAUUUUUAUUUAUAAAAAAGAAACAGAUUGACUCUCGUGAUUCCAUUCAUUCCAGUC